rnacentral:rRNA from 1 species
GAUGAACGCUAGCGGCAGGCUUAACACAUGCAAGUCGAGGGGUAUAUGUCUUCGGAUAUAGUGACCGGCGCACGGGUGCGUAACGCGUAUGCAAUCUGCCUUUCACAGAGGGAUAGCCCAGAGAAAUUUGGAUUAAUACCUCAUAGUAUAAUCAAGCCGCAUGGUUUAAUUAUUAAAGUCACAACGGUGAAAGAUGAGCAUGCGUCCCAUUAGCUAGUUGGUAAGGUAACGGCUUACCAAGGCAACGAUGGGUAGGGGUCCUGAGAGGGAGAUCACCCACACUGGUACUGAGACACGGACCAGACUCCUACGGGAGGCAGCAGUGAGGAAUAUUGGACAAUGGGCGCAAGCCUGAUCCAGCCAUGCCGCGUGCAGGAUGACGGUCCUAUGGAUUGUAAACUGCUUUUGUACGAGAAGAAACAUCCCGACGUGUCGGGACUUGACGGUAUCGUAAGAAUAAGGAUCGGCUAACUCCGUGCCAGCAGCCGCCGUAACAC